GAUGAACGCUGGCGGCGUGCCUAAUACAUGCAAGUCGAGCGAACAGACGAGGAGCUUGCUCCUCUGACGUUAGCGGCGGACGGGUGAGUAACACGUGGAUAACCUACCUAUAAGACUGGGAUAACUUCGGGAAACCGGAGCUAAUACCGGAUAAUAUAUUGAACCGCAUGGUUCAAUAGUGAAAGACGGUUUUGCUGUCACUUAUAGAUGGAUCCGCGCCGCAUUAGCUAGUUGGUAAGGUAACGGCUUACCAAGGCAACGAUGCGUAGCCGACCUGAGAGGGUGAUCGGCCACAUUGGGACUGAGGCACGGUCGAGACUACUACGGGAGGCACGAGGAGGGUAGCUUGCGGGAUGGGCGAGAGUUUUACAGAGCAAUGCGGAGUGAGUGAUAAAGGUCUUAGUAUCGUAAAACUCUUUUAUUAGGGAAAAACAAAAGUGUAAGUAACUAUGCACGUCUGGACGGUACCUAAUCAGAAAGCCACGGCUAACUACGUG
rnacentral:rRNA from 1 species